GCCGCCGUGAUGAAACAGGUAGACAUUGCAGACUUAAAAUCUGUUGAGAUUUACUCUCGUGCCGGUUCGAGUCCGGCCGGCGGCACCA
rnacentral:tRNA from 1 species